rnacentral:rRNA from 2 species
GGAUGCGAUCAUACCGGCACUAAAGCACCGGAUCCCAUCAGAACUCCGAAAUUAAGCGUGCUUGGGCGAGGGUAGUACUAGGAUGUGUGACCUCCUGGGAAGUCCUCGUGUUGCAUUCC